GACAGAUUUUUUUUUUCUUGCGGACAGACGCUAGAACUUGUAUGAUUUUAUCUGCCGAGGUUUCUCUCGCCAGUGAAAAAUAAAAACCGGAGUGGAUUUCAAAUAGGAACGAUUACAGAUCGUUUCUGACAGGUGAUAAAUCCGCUCCACGCAUACAUGUAGUUCCAGACCGACGUUUAGUCUGUGGGUUUCUUGGCGACUAUGAAAGCGUGUAACAUGGCGAAGAAGAAAUACACAAACUACCUGGACACUUCAUAGACGUACUGUUGCUAUCCCGUUCCACUCACCGCAUUCUUCAGGACGGGGUGUGUGACGUGUGUGAUGGAGAAGAGAAAUGGACCUGCAAGCCCCCUUAUGAGAGACAGAUGGCUGAUGGUGAUGCUGUCAGUAUCGGUUCUGUUUGCUCCAAGCCAAGUCAGAGUGAAAACCCCGUUACGCUAGAGAGAGGAAAGGAAAUGUUCAAGAUUCUGGACGAGGGACAGAGCGGAUGGAGAAGGGGAAAGGCAGGAUGGAUACAAAGGGAGAGAGAGGGAGCGUCCCUCCUGCUGUACCCACCUGCCCCCCUACAUAUGCCGGGAAAAUGAGAAUAGAUUGGCCCAUCCGUGGAUGAUGCCAGGUGGCAUUUAGACCCCCGAGAAGAUACGAGUGCAGUCUAUCUACCUCACAGUGACAGACGUUGGGCCUGGAGAGAGAGGAAAAGAAAAAAGGAAGCAAGUCGGAAAGGAUGAAAACGGAGGAGGGGGAAAGCAGAAAAACCCUAGUAGGUCCAAACAAAUGUGUUGUCCUGCUGAAGGCACGCUUGUUUUCUUGUCAUUAUCCCAAGCUGCUGUGGCACAGCGAACCAGAUGUACAUGUGGGAGUACGCAAACGGGCUAGUGACAAUAAGAAUGCCCUUUUUUGCAUUGCCAUGUAAUCUUAGCCUUUUCCUUGUUUUGAAACCAUAUUUGAGUUGGAUUUGAAAUCCUGUUAAAUGGAUUAGUGAACACUUAUACAUUCUGGAAAUUAAAAAUCAGGGAGCACAGAUGUGAUUUUGCAACACACAUGCCUAAAGGUAUAAUGUUCAUUAUCACAAAACAAUUGUUUCAACUUGUACAUCACUUGCUUUAUUAAGAAUUUUGGGUUGAAUUAAGAAUAUUUCAGGUUAGGUUAGGUUAGGUACAUGGUAUAAUGUUGGUUUUAUUUGAGCUGCAAAACUAUUUAGUUCAUAAUUUUUACAGUGAUUUUAGGGCAUUACCUUGUCGGGGAAUUGCAGAUACAAUUACAAUUGUAUAUACUGUAUCUUUACAAAUACUAAGCAAUUUGUCAUACUAAAAUAGCAUUAUAUGAACACACAUUUUGUUCAUAUCUUGUGAAUAUACUUUUGAAAGAGCAAAUAGUUUAAUGCAUUCACGUCUGAAAGAAAAGGAAAUGAAUUUUUGUGGUAAUCAACAUCAUGCCACAAUGGCUGUCACUUGUAACUUGUACUGUACCCGGAACGUUCCUUGAGUUUUGAUGCUUUGUCAACAGGACAGCAUUGGAAGUCAUGCUACAUUCUGAGCAAGUCAGCUCUUGCAAUGUGUGUUGCAAAAGAAUAUUAAUCAUGCAGGGAGGAUGGUGAAAGAGUGUCAUGUCAUUGUUUCCAUUGUUGGGAAAUACCUGUUUUUCAUGUUCUGCAAUCCGUUUUCCUCAUUCAGAGCAAAAGCCAUGACUUCCUGCCAUCUGGGUAAGCAGUUUUUAUUGUUUUCGAGCAUGAAAACAAGAACUCUAAUUAUAGCAUUGUGAUUAUACUACAGUAUGCCAAUGACCAUGAUACCCCUGGCACAGGAGUGGAACGGUUUCUACAGGCCCAGAAUGACCCCUUAGUGGCUAAUGUUAUAUGAUGAGGCUUUUUCAGGGUGAUUAAUGAAAAGGAUGGGGAGGACAAGAGAUGGAGAGAUAGAAGGUGAAGGAAUGGGGGAAGGGUGAUGGUGACAAAUCGUUUGGGGGUUCUUCAAAACAACACUGGCAGAUAGAUGGUGGCAGUGUGUGUCUUUCAUUAUCAGUGACCCGCUGUUCAAUCAACGCCAGAGAAAGACGGCCACAGUCCAGAGAACUGGGCUACAGGACAAAGUAUCAUCCCAUCAUCACUCAAGUCCCCCUCUCUUAACACAUACGCACACACACACAUAUAUCUUCUCAAACACUCGCCUCUACCCCUCAAACGACCCCACACACAUUGAUGAGAUGUGAGGGUUCUGACCCCAGACUGGAUGUGCCCUCUUGCCCCUCAGGACCCAAAGAAAGGGCGCCAUCCAUGCAGGUGCCAUGGUAACACUGUCGUGGCAGGUCGAGUCUCAUGAACGAUGAUGCUGGUGAUGUCAUUAACCCGGUGGGAGGAGCAUCCCACCAGUUUUCCCAUAAUCACCAGCUGCCUCUUUCCAUUAGCAUUGAAAAUAAUUCCUAUUGCUUUAAUUCCUACCGUAUUUAAAAAAAUAUAUAUGUAUCAAGCCCCUUACAGCAUAUGUAGCAAUAUUUCAAUUUAUUUCAAAUUAUAUUAAACAGACUUAAAAUAUCAAGUGAAUUCUCAUAUAACUUUAAAAAAUGAAGUUGAAAUUGGUUAAAUUAAUUUGAUGAGUUAAAGUGAUGGAAAACCUUGUUACUAAUUGAUCAUAUCAUUUUUUAUUUUUUUGCAGGGGGCUGCAAGAUGGAUUAUAUGUAUGAUAAAUAUGUAUUUUAAUUCAAUAGAAAACUAUAGUAGUAAUAAUAAUAAGAUAUUUUGUCUAUUAUUAUUAUUAUUAUUAUAUAGCUUUUUGAAGACUAUGCUUGCAAAAAAACUUUUCAUUAUUAUCCUUACAACUAUUCUACUGACAAAUUUCUUUUUUAAGGUGAAUACAUGUAACAUUACUCUUACAGUGGGUAGAGAAAUUACACUGUCAGCUUAAUACAAAAUAAAUAUUCUCCAAAUAAUAUGUUAAUAUGGAUACAGUGUUUGCUUUGGCUACAGAACAGUGACAACAUAAAAGCCAACUAUUUAAUAAGGAUCCUUAUAUCAUGCUUAACAUUUAUCCCAGAGACAAGAUAAAUAGGUAUAUAAUUACUCACUCUCUCACUCUCUCUCUCUCAGUCUCUCUCUCUCUCUCUGUGUCUGGUUGUGUGUGUGUAUACCCUGUAUAUGUCCUGGCCCCAAAAAGCUUGAAUACCCCUGUUUUAAUAAACCAAGAUGAGGAUGAGACAAAUGUUGAUGGAGGAAGGGUAGCAGGCCAGAGACCUUCUCAGAUGUCAUCACCAGCCUCAAUCGGGCACAUUAACGCUGAUAGGACAGUUGAUUCAUAGUCAGAUUUUUCUAGGGAACUUUUCGCUUGGCUAAACAUAAAUUCAUAUGGGGGGCUUAUAUUAGCAGUGUACAAUAAGUGGAACAAGGGCCAAAUAGUGGAAAUGGUUUGAGGCAGAAAACACACACAAACAGGCAUAGGAGAAGGAGAAUAUUUGUGGGCUAGCGCUGACUAGAUAUGGUGAUAGAUUAAGCACUGUGCCACCCUUUGAAGCAGGUAUCAUCAUUCAGAGUGGCAGCCGAUCGGUGAGCACUAUAGGACUACCUGCUGAGGAUCCUGCAGUAAUACAGCUGCUCCACAUAAUCAUAAUCUUCACUACACCGCUAAAACAGCCAAAGAAAAGAAUAAAAUACAUGGAGAAUAGCAGAAAGAGUUUGUCAGACAAAAUGGAACGUCCAGAGAAUUAGGUAUGACAUUUAACAAACACCAAAAUUGUACAGAUUUGGCAUAAAGCAAAUGCAAGAGGAAGAAAUGUACGAGGAGAAAGAUGGAGCUCUGAUCCUCUCAAUCUCGUAGCGAAGCCGUGGAACAGAUGCUAGCAGAAGCAUUAACAAAAGAGCGGAGCUUCUGACCGCGAGCCCCUGCGCUUGGCAAGUCCUAGAGGUAAUAAUGGUUAGCAACCUGAAAAAUGUUCUUAUCUGAAAAAAGCCCCAGACAGUAAUAAAUGAAAUAAUUGUACUAAACACAUUAAUCCAUGUCGGCGGCCCCAGGGGGAGGGUCUGUGAGUGUUAGAGGUAGUGAAUGGCACUAACCUGCCAACAAAAAGAGUCUCUCUCUCUCUCGUUCUCUCUCCCUCUCCUUCUCAACCCUCUGCAAACAGUGUAUUUUUUGCCCUGCCUUUCGGGAGGCAGGGGUCGUUAUUAAUCUUGCUGGCUUGCUUAGCUUCAGGCAUCACAGCAGGGCAGCAUCUGGGAGUGUGUGCACGAGUGUGUGUGUGUGAUGAGAGUGUCUGAGCCAGGAUAUGGAUAAUGCAUGGGCAAAGACUGUGUAUGUGUUUAUGUGUGUGUGUGUGUGUGUGCAUGUACUAGUCUGACUCAGAAUGAGGAAGACCAAGCAUCUUAAGUCAUGUGUAUCUCUUAAUCGGUGUGUUUAAAUGUAAAUUACACCAGUGUGUUACGCUGUGCAAGUCACAGGAUCAUGCAUGUGAGUGAAAAAGAAUACAAUUCAGGACAUUUGACUAUGAUGAAUCGCAAAACCAUCCCAUAUUGCUUGUAUACUUGCAUAGGACAGUGGGCAAACUGAGAAAGAGAAUGCAUCGAUGCUAUGAGUACUUGAUAUAAUCAAGUGUUCUGCAUCUGCAUGCAGCAAGGUCCAUUUCCACUGUGCGGACAUGAUGUAAAGCCUGUUACCAAGUAAAAACUGGUGAGAAAAGAACACGAUCAACACAGUAACCAUUGCAGGACUGUGGACCUUAAGUCAUGCAUCCCACAAGCAAUGUAUAUUCUCAUUUUACUGGAAUCUUAAGUGGACACUAUAAUGGACAGGCAUGUCGGUAAAACCUAAGGCCUUGUUUGCAUCUCUUAGAAAUACAAUUCAUCCUCUUGUACCACCGGAAAAAAAUAAUUCAAAUAUAUCCAUGUAUGUUUUGUUUUUUUAAUGAAUUGAAAUGUGAAAUUAAAUUUUUCUUGUUUGUUGCUUUUGGACAGUGCCAUCAUCCAAUGUUUUUGCUCUGUAUUUGUUAGUCACAUGGCAAAUUCAGAUGAUUUAUGUAAAAAAAAAAAAAAAUCUUAUUUUUUGCCAUAAGAAUUGCAUGCUUACAGUGUCCUGCACCAGUCGAGCAAGUGCCAUUGAGAUGCACGGGAAUAUUAAAUUAUAGGUUUUCCACUGAAAGUCUAAGUCUAAACUA